AAUAAAUCAGUUAUUAAAUCCCAAAAAAUAUAUAGAAACAUGUUCUUACAUUUUCACGGGAAAUACAACAUGAUUUUAUUUGUCCCUAAAAUACUUGAUCAUAUGCAAAUUAAAACAUUAAUUUUUUUUUGUCUUUUUUGAUUUUAUAAUUCAACAACAUAUAUAAAAAAAGUACAAACACCAAACAUCCCUUUUUAUUAUGUUUUUCUCAUACACCCAUAUGUAAUUACAAAAAACAAAAAUUUAAAACAAAACAAACAACACAUCACACAAAUAAAAAAAUUACAUAAUAGCCCCUAAAAAUCCAGGAAACUGCUGGGAAGGCUUCUGAAUCACAAAAACAGUGGCGGCACGUCUCGUAUAAGCGCCACCACCAUUAACGGCGUGUGGGUUCACGCGCCGCCGCGAGGAAGAACCUGGAAACAGUGGGAUCUGGCUCACCGUAACCUGCAAAAGAAGAAAAACACACGCAAUCGAUUUUAUUUGGGUAUUUUUUAUUUUUGUUUAAAGCAUUAUGUUCUCCUCUCCUCCCGAUUUGUUUUACUUUCUGCCGAUGCCAGAUCGGGCGAUUGGGGUAGUUAUGGGGUUGGCCUUGCUGCUGUGCGUGUGGCCGCUGAAGCUGCUCUUGAGAUGGGAGUGGUUGUUCGGUCGACAAUGGGACUGUCGAUCGGCAGUGAGGAGAAACCGAAACGGCCAGGGAGAGGGAGACCGUGGCUGAGGCAGAGACGGGAGCAGCUAAAGAAUACAGCGGGGGCUGCCAUCGUGUUCGGUCUGAGGAAAAAAGGAACGGCUGUGGGGCUGCUCCUGUGUGGAGGAGAUUGGUGUGUGUGGGUCUAGGAGGAGAAGAUGAUAAGGAAAAAGCUGGGGGAACAAUGGAGGUCGGUUUGUGGGGGAGAGUGAGAUCUGGUGAGGGAGAAGAAAGGGAGAGUGUUGGCUGGAGGAGGGGAGCCUUGUCCGGCUGUAGGGAGAAGAAGUCGAAGGUUCAAAAUCCUAAAGCAGGGUUUCUCUUUUUUUUAGAGAGGGAGGUGGCGGCCCUUGUGUGAAAAGGGAGAGGUUUAGGGUUUUUUUGUGGUUUAGAGUUUUUUGUUGUUCUCUCAAAUUGUGCAAAACCCCAUGUAAAUUUUCUCCUCCCCAGUGCAUAUGGCUGAAGGUUCACUUAUAUAGAAAAUAUCUACACGUGUUAUUUAAGGAAAUAUUGCAAUAAUUAUUGCAGAGAUUGUCUUCUAUAACUAGCACCAACAAAUUCUAUAUAUAUGGUAUUUUAUAUUGCAGUGAUUAUUUUCUAUAACCAGCACGAAUCAAAUUAUAUAUCUAUAGUAUUUUAUAUUGCAGUAAUUAUAUAUGAUUCAGUAAUUAUCUUCUUGAUAUAUUGCUUCUUUAAUAUUAGCCCUGAUGCUCUAUGUUAUCGCCACAUGUAAACCUUUUUUUUUUUUUUUGAAAAUUUAUCAAAACAUAGGUCAAAAAUUGGGUAGCAACAAGUACACUGAGAAAAAUUAAUUCCAUGUAUAAAAAACAAUAAUGAUGCAUAUAUUAUAUGCAUGAUUGUGCAUGUAUUACAUGUGCAAUAAUUGAUCGCGUGUAUAAUAAAAACACAAUUGAGUGGUCACGCAUAUACUACAUAUCUAAUUAUUGGAUUAAUUAUUAUAUGCAUGAUAAUUGUUCGCGUGUACCGCAUGCAUAAUAAUUGUUCGCGUGUACAGUAAAAUCACAAUCGUGUGGUCAUGCAUAUACUACAUGCCUGAUCAGUACUAGAUUAAUUAUUAUAUGUGUAAUCAUUCACGUACCACAUGCACAAUAAUUGUUCGCUCUUACAGUAAAAUCACAACCGUCUGGUCACGCAUAUACUACAUGCCUGAUAACUGGAUUAAUUAUUAGAUGUGUGAUCAUUCACGUACCACAUACGCAAUAAUUAUUCGCUCGAAUAGUAAAAUCACAACCGUCUGGUCACGCAUAUACUACAUGCAUGAUUAUUGUACUAAUUAUUUUAAAGCCAGAUUCCUUUCCCUUCUUCUCCCCAAUUGAAGACAUGUUGGAUUGCAUUUACAAUUAAUACAAGUAGUCAAAUCAAAUCAUUGUGUGUUAUAUAUCAUGAUUCCAUGUAAAGAACAUUUAGCAUGUUUUAAUUAAGUGUAUUUUCAUGAUACAUUCUAAUCAUGGUAGCUAGGUCAUAUGUGAAUUCUUAAAUAUAUUUCUGAAAUAUGAUCGAUCGAAACACUAUUACGUUUAUGUUUGAUUGAAGUGAAAAGUGUUGCUAAUAUGUAUUUAUUCAAAUAAAAACUCUAUAAGGGAUUUAAUCAUGAUAUGUUAUUAAUUUUCUAUCAACACUUGAUAUGUUUUUCGGAUUUGAAAUGGCUUGGUUAGAAAAAUCUAAGAUUAAAUCAUGUCAAAUUACCAUCAUAUCCUAUGACUUCACUACCAGAAACUCGCUUAAUACCAACGGAUUUGCCGACGGAAUAAUUCUGUCGGCCAUUUGAGGUCGCCAUUACCGACAGCAUUCAAUCUGUCGGUAAUGUCAUCGUCACAUACCGACGGAAAACAUCCGUCGGUAUUUACCGACGGACUUACCAACAGAAUGUUGAGAAUUAAGAAAAGAGGGCAGUUCGCUGACGUGGAGGUUAUUAUGGGUAGUUUUUUACCGACGGAAUCACCAAGGGAUUCAAAACAUCAGCUCCGUACGGUGAUGAGAUCGGUUCAUCGAUGAAAAUGCCGACGGAAUCACCGAGGGAUUCAAAACGGCAGCUCCGUACGGUGACGUGUCCUAUUUACUGUUAGAAUAGUCGGCGAAAUCACAGACGAAAUAUUUUGUCGGUGAAUCCGUCGGCAAAAGUUAAUACAUCCACUCUCACUCGACCCUAUUCUCCCCUAUUUCUUCUUCCUCAUCUAAACUCUCCCCAACUGCAAACAACCAGCCCCCCUCCCAAAAAAAAUCUCCCUCUUCUCAGCACAACAAGUCAUAUAUCUUGAAGUCUUCUUGUCACAGCAUCCAUGUUCUGAUUUACCUAUGAUUUUUUAUCAGUUUUUGUAAGUAAUUCUAUUUUUUAAAAUUUUAACAUUUAAAUAUCAUGGUUUUUAUUGUUUUUUUAGUAUAUGUAUUUUGUUAGUAGAUGUACAUGUUUUAUUGUUAUUUCUCAAACAAACUUGUAGUAUAUGAAUGUAUAAUUUUAUACCUGUUAUGGUUUGUUUUAGAUUUUGUAAGAUUGUAUUUGUUUGUAAAUUGUUGAAACUUUAUUGAAUUAUCGAAUUACAUGUGUUGUUUUGAAAUAAUUAAUAGCUUGUUUAAUGGGUCCGUUUUAAUUUUAAUCAUCAAUGGUAUUGCGGAGUUGUAAUUUUUGUAAAUUGAUAUAUAUGUAUUAAUUUGUAUGGACGUUGAUAAUUGAUAAUGAAUAUUUAAUAUUUAUGAGAAGUUGUAAUUGGUUUGUUGGAUAAUCUUGAGGUAAACCAAUUUUUUUGCAAAUUUAUUUACCUAACAUAGUUAAUUAAUACAUGUUGUUAUCAUAAUUUUAUAGAGAUUCGAUAGAAGUCAUGAAUGAUCGUUCAUGGAUGUAUCGAGAUGGGGUUCAGGGUUUUAUUAAUCUCGCAACAUCUUUUCCCAGAAAUUUUAUUGGAGGCGGUAUUAGGUAUCCAUGCAGGAAGUGUAAAAAUAAAAAGUAUCUGCAUCCAGAUGUUGUAACGAUGCAUCUUCUACGCAAAGGGUUUAUGGAGAAUUAUCAGUGUUGAUAUGCACACGGAGAAGUAUUUGUUAGUAAGAGGAGAAUGGAAGAAACGGUGGUUGGGUCAACUUCUAGUGCUAGCAACGUGCAUGAAGCAGCAAAUGACAACACUAAUCCUUACAUGAAUAUGGUUAUGGAUGCAAUGAGAAUGAAUCAAGGUAAUGUCAGUCAAUGCCAAUUGUAGAAGAAGAACCUAAUGCAGAUGCAGCUAGGUUUUUUGAUUUGUUGAAAGAUUCUGACUAACCAUUAUGGGAUGGCUGCACGAACCAUAGUAAAUUAUCGGUCGUAGCACAGGUGUUCACCAUCAAGUCAGAUCACGGGUUGAGUGAGGCCGGGUAUGACAAGAUUAUUGAAUGGGCGAGAAGCAUUUUACCUGAAGGGAACAAGCUGAAAGAGAACUUCUAUGCUACGAAGUCCAUGAUGAAACCCAUCAGUUUAGGAUACCAGAAAAUUAACAUGUGCCCUAACUUCUGCAUGUUAUACUACCUUGAAAAUGCUGAGAUGACCGAGUGCAUGACAUGCGGACAUUCCCGUUACAAACCCGGAACUGGUAGGGAAAAGACUCUAGUGACAUAUAAAAAACUUAGAUACUUCCCAAUCACAUCUAGACUGCAGAGGUUAUUCAUGUCACCAAGGACUGCUGAGCACAUGACAUGGCACCAAUCACAUGAUGCAGUUGAUGGAGUAAUGGUGCAUCCUUCUGACGGCAAAGCGUGGAAACACUUUAAUAGUGUGCAUCCUCACUUUUCAGUUGAAUCAAGGAACGUGCGUCUUGGGUUGUGUAUAGAUAGAUUUAACCCAUUCGGGUCAUUUGCUGCUCCUUAUUCUUGUUGGCCGGUCAUACUAACGGUUUAUAACUUGCUACCGGGGAUGUGUAUGAGGCCGGAGUUCAUGUUUUUAUCUAUGGUCAUACCAGGUCCGAGCAAUCCGAGGCGGAAUAUAGAUGUUUGUCUUCGUCCGUUGAUUGAUGAGUUGACGCAGUUGUGGUCCUCUGGAGCUUUGACUUAUGACAUCUCGAGGAAACAAAAUUUUGUUAUGAGAGCGGCUUUGAAGUGGACUAGAAAUGAUUUUCCAGCUUAUGGAAUGCUUUCUAGUUGGAGCACGCAUGAGAAACUCGCAUGUCCAUACUGCAUGGAAAACAACAAGGCAUUCACGUUAAGAAACAGAGGUAAAGCUUCUUUUUUUGACUGUCACCGUUGUUUCUCGCCAUAUAAUCAUAGGUACAGAAAGAACAGAAAAGAUUUCUUUGUUGGCAGAGUUGAAAAGGAUGUUGCACCCCCGCGUCUUUCUGGUGAAGAAUUGCAUGAUGUUGUAAAAUUGUAUGGUGGCAUUGUCUUUGGUCUCCAAUCAGGUAAGCAGAAGUUCCCUAGUUUUGGUUUGACCCAUAAUUGGGUAAAGCGAAGUAUCUUUUGGGAGGUUCCUUAUUGGAAGACCAAUCUUCUUCGCCAUAACCUUGAUGUCAUGCACAUUGAAAAGAACGUGUUUAAGAACAUUUUCAACACCGUCAUGGAUGUGAAGGGGAAGACAAAGGACAACAUUGUUGCUACCCAAUUUUUGACCCAUGUUUUGAUAAAUUUUCAGAAAAAAUCCAAAAAUAGCGAAAAGCAUUGAAAAUCCAAAAAAUACGUUUUUAAUACAUUUGCAUCGUUUUUAGCAUUUUCAGCGUCAUCUAAAAAGAAUUUAAAUUUUCAAAGGUCUUUCGAACGCGUUCAACUUUUCACGCGUCAUUUUUAAAGUUAUUGAUUUUCCUCAUUGAGUCGAUAUUGAUAUUGCUUGUUUUAAAAAAAAAUAAAAAAAAAUUAAGAAAAAUCAAAUUUACAAAAAAAAAAAGAAGUUGAGGGAUCAAGUUGGAAACCUAGCAACAUUUUUGCCUAUAAAUACUGGUCUUCAACACACACAAGAGAAGGGGAGGGCAAUUUUGCAAAGUAGUGGGAAUCCAUAAAAAAACCCUAACCCUAAACCUACCUCUAACCAAACGGCAGCGCUCCCCACUUGAAAAAAACAAAAAGAGCCGCUGCCCCCCCCCACCGGUUCUGGAUUUUGCUUCUUCCGUGGCCGCUCCCCCCCGGCCAUCUUCACCUUCCCUCUCCCAGCCUCUCCUCUCUCAACCUUUCCCCCACAGAGAAUCAGCCGACCACAAGACAGCUCCUCAACUCUCAUCCAAAGCAGCCGCUCCUUUCCCCAGCCGAAACCAGAGAAACAAAGGGAGCCCCGACCAUCUCUCUCUUCCCACAGUUCCCCCUGCCCAACACCAUUUCCCUCAACCCUUACAGGGCCCAACAAGCCAUCCUCUCCUCUCUCACUGCCUCAGCCUCUCUGUAACCCAACCCCCAAUUUUUGCCCACAGACCAGCCACAGCAGCGCCGUCCACAGAUUCACCGGCCACCGACAGCUGCAGACCGAACAAAACCCAAAGGCCAGCAGCCCUAUGGUCACACCGCCGACCGCUUGAAACAGAGAACAAAGGGGAAACGAAAAGAAACCGAGCUGCGAAGAGAGAUGCAGAUCUGCAGAACAAAAAAGAAAAACAAAACUAAAAUCAAUUGUUGUUGUGCGUUGUUUCCCUUGUUGCAGGUGUCGGUGACCUUCACCGCCGGCGUAGGAAGAUAGAGAAGAGGAAGACGGCCCCGAUCCACCAGUUCUGCCACCUUCAGCGGCGGCGGCGCGUGAAUCCACGCGUCGCCACUGUUGCUGCGGUGCAGAAGGCCUUCCCUGCAAUUUAUGGAGUUUUUAGGGGCUAUUUUGUAAAUUUAAAAUUCUGUAAUGUAAUUUUUGUUUAGUUUUGAAUUUGUAUUUUGAAGUGUAGAUGAAAAAAAAAACAAAAAGAAGAAAAAUAAAAGAAAAAAAAUAGUGAAAGUGUAUUAUGUGUGUGUUUGAUUUUUUUUUUAUGAAUGCUUUAUUUAUUUAUUUAUGAUAAAAUUGCAAAGAUUAAAGAAGAAUUUAAUAUUUUGAUUUGCUCACGGUCCAGAAUUAUUAACUUAUACGUAAGUUGUAUUUCUAAUAUCCGAUGAAAAGACAAAAUUUAAAACUUCUUUAACACGUCAAAAUCACGAAGCAGCUUACCUCAGGUAGGGUGCGUUAGGGGUGCUAAUACCUUCCCUAACCACAACCAGUCUCUUACCCGUGAAUCUCUGACAAGACCAGUAUAUCCGGUUUCCAAGUAGCCUUCAAUAAAUUACUAGGUGGCGACUCCAACGAACCAAUCAAAGCAAAACGCAUAAAGAAAAAAUCGCCAAGCCGACGCCGCGUGGGUGACGGUCUCCAAUCAGGUAAGCAGAAGUUCCCUGGUUUUGGUUUGACCCAUAAUUGGGUAAAGCGAAGUAUCUUUUGAGAGGUUCCUUAUUGGAAGACCAAUCUUCUUCGUCAUAACCUUGACAUCAUGCACAUUGAAAAGAACGUGUUUAAGAACAUUUUCAACACCGUUAUGGAUGUGAAGGGGAAGACAAAGGACAACAUCAAGGCUAGAUUGGAUGUAGCGUUGUUCUGUAACCGAAAAAAUAUGGAGUUGGUUUGUGAUGGGUCACGAGUCGCAAAACCAAGAGCAAGCUUCGUGUUAGAGAAAAACGCACAACUACUAGUCAACAAAUGGCUUAAUAGUCUGUGUUUUUUGGAUGGACAUGCAUCGAACAUAUCAAGGCUGGUUAAUAUGGAGGAAUGCAGAUUGUAUGGAAUGAAAAGUCAUGACUACCACGUGUUUAUGCAAACACUCAUCCCAUUAGCUUUUCGAAAUUUGUUGCCAAAGGGGAUAUAGGAUGCACUCACAGAGAUCAGUCAUUUCUUUAGAGAUUUAUGCUCCAGCAAGUUGAACGUUGAUCACAUUGAGAGGCUUGAAAUGAAUAUCGUCGAGAUACUAUGCAAACUUGAGAUGAUAUUCCCUCUAUCAUUUUUUGACUCAAUGGAGCAUCUCCCAUACAUCUACCGUUCGAGGCAAAAGUUGGAGGACCGGUCCAUUAUAGAUGGAUGUACCCAUUCGAACAGUUAGAUAUUACAGUUGCAAUGUAAUUCAUAUGUAAAAGUAUUUUCUUUGUUUUUCUUCAUUGAAAAUACUUGAUUAAUUCAAUGUAGGUACUUGUUCAAUCUCAAGAAAAAGGUUAAGAACAAGGCGCAUGUUGAGGCUUCGAUAUGUGAGGCCUAUAUUGUUGAGGAGAUCUCAACAUUUAUCUCGUACUAUUUCAAACCUCAUCUGAGAACGAGAAUCAAUCGCGUUCCAUGACAUGAUGAUGGUGGUGAAGUUUCUUCCAGUAGGAACUUGUCGAUAUUCUCUAAUCCUGGACGACCCACACCUAAAAAUGCCGUAAGAGGAAGAUAUUUGUUAGAAAUAGAGUUCAAACAAGCACACAAUAAUGUUUUAUUUAACUGUGAUGAGUUGGGACCUUUUAUUCAGUAAGUGUAUAUAUGUGUUUUCGUGUUGCUCCUUCGGUUGACUUGGAAGAAAAUUCAAAUUUUCAUGUUUUCAAUGAUAGUCUUGUUGAUGUUAACGCAGAGGAGUUGAAUGUUGUUUUGAACUCUAGUGGACAAGCAAAUGUCAAUGAAGAUGAUGACCAUAUUGAAGAUUGCGAUGAAGGUGAUGACUAUUCAAUUGAUGACGAAGAAGAAGAAAAUUCUAACUAACUAUCAGAAUGAAGCCUUUUUCAAGUAAUAUAGAUUAUGGAUAAUAUAUCUUGUAACAUGAAAUAUGUAUUGUUUAAGCACUGUUGUUAUUGUUUUGUGCGAUGGACAGUUUAUCAUUUAAGUGUUUGCAUGAAGGUAAAUAGGCAAUACAAAUAUAAUCUUUCUUGUACACUUACCAACGUCCAUACCAACGGACCUUAUUCCGUCGACAUUUUAUAGAGAGUUCGAAAAUAAUUACUUGAAAUGCCACAAUUACCGACGUCUAUGCCGACGGAAUAAGGUCCGUCAGCAUUUCAUAGAGAGUUCGAAAAUAAUUACUUGAAAUGCCACAAUUACCGACGUCUAUGCCGACGGAAUAAGGUCCGUCGACAUUUCACAGAGAGUUCAAAAAUAAUUACUUGAAAUGCCACAAUUACCGAUGUCCAUACCGACGGAAUAAGGUUUGUCGGCAUUUCACACGAAAAUAAUCACUGGAAAUGCCACAAUCACCGAUGAAUGUACCGACGGACCAAAGACCGUCGGUAAAUUUUCGGCGGAUAAUAUUACCGAUAAAAUCACCGACGGAGUGUGAAAAUUCCAAAGGGCGGUGCAUUAAACGCAUCUCUGACCGCGUGAUUUUUCCGACGGAACGCGAAAAAUAUGGAGGGUAAUUAAAAUUGUUGGUGCGAAAUUCAAAAAUUACCGAUAUAUUUUCGAACGUCACCGACGGAAUAAAUUAAAAUAAUAUUUUUUUAUUUUCCGUCAGUGAAUCCGUCGGUAAAACUGGCCUAUAUAUCCCAACGACCACCCCUUCAGUUCAUUUUUUCAUCUCUUCCGUUCUUCACCUUCAAUUUCAAAUUUUUUCCUCUGAUUUCUUCAAGGCAUUCACCUACAUCUCUAGCAAGUGUUCAUGUGAAUCUUCAUCAGAUUAAAAGGUAUGUGUUCCUUUAUUUCAUUUACUUUAAGGGUUUUUUUUUGUUUUGGCUUUUUUUUUUUGUGUUUUUUGUUUUGGUGUAUUUUUAUAAUGUAGAUAAAGUCUUAAAAUCAUCUAUAGUUUUUUUUUUUGAAUUUAUUGAAUAUAUUUUUUUGUUGUAUUGGCAUAAUUAUUGAAUAAUUUGUUGAAUUGUGAUUGAAUAUGUUGGAAUAAUAAGUAAUUUUACUACAUUAUUGCAUGAUUUGUGUUUAAUUAUUUGCAUUAAUUUUAAUUGUUAGUCUAGAGUUUUUGUUGAAUUUAUUGAAUAUUUUUUAUUGUUUGUAUUUAUAUAAUGAUUGAAUAAUUUGUUGAAUUGUAAUUGUUAAUGUUGAAUUUACCUUAGAAUAAGUAUUUGAAUAUGUUGGAAUAAUUAGUAAUUUUACUACAUUAUUGCAUGAUUUGUGUUUAAUUAUUUGCAUUAAUUUUAAUUGUUAGUCUAGAGUUUUUUUUUUAAUUUAUUGAAUAUUUUUUAUUGUUUGUAUUUAUAUAAUGAUUGAAUAUGUUGUUAAUGUUGAAUUUACCUUGUAAUUAGAAUGAAUGUUAUAUGUAUAGAUGUUAUGUUAUAUACAAUAUUAGUAUAGAUGGAGUCAUUUGGUUGUGGCUUUUGUCAAUAUUUGUAGGUUUGUGGAUUUGGGUAGUAUCCAGUAUAGGGGAGGUGCUGUCGAAUUUUUUUUAACAUUCGAAUUUAAUUAUAUAAUUAUUCGUAUACAAUUAUGUAGAUGCGUAGAACGAAAACCAGAGCUGGUCGCUCACGUAUGGUCACAGCUAGUUCUUCUAGCAGCGAGGAUGAGGUAUCCUUAGGUGCCUCUCAAGUUGCCGAUGCACCAUCAACCGAUGCUGCCUCUUCUAGUGCGGGUUCACAGCGAAGAAGUGGCGUGCCUUCGCAGCGGAAUCAGUUCACCCGCAAGUACGAUGCACAGUGGAAGGACGACCUUUCAAUGUAAGUUUGUUAAGGUUUUAGUUUUUUCUUUUAAAUUAUAACAUAAUUUAUGAACAUCUAAUCAAUAUUUCAUGAAUUUAAUUUAUUUUCAGGUUCACAAACAUUGAGGCUGCCCGAGUAAUAUCAUCGGCGUUUAAAUCAUCAAUGGAGAUUCCAUUAUUUCAAUAGAGUCAGGUAUCCAGACAUCCUGAAUGGAUACCUCAAAUCGAUGCAUGGUUUAACAGAUUUGAGGUUGGUGUUAAUUUCUAAUUUCCAGCUUAUUUCUAAUAAUUUAUCAAUAUAAUUGUAAAUAAAUUAUUAUUUUUAUUUAUCUAAUUAUUUAUACACAACAUAAAUUCGUUUGGGACAGGGCGCAUGACAAAGUUGUGAGGAGGGUGUGGGAAAAUCACGCGGCAACUAGGUAACAUCGAAAACAAUACAAGAUUUUUUUAGAAAAAAAAUUUAUGUUUCAACUUCUAAUUUCUCGCUAUGGAAGUAGGUUGCGUGAUUUUUGGUAUGAAGCACAAAAAAAGGCAAAAAACAACCGUGAGAGAUAGGGGUUUCCAAGGCUGGAACGAUGUGGCGGUUUGGAGGGAUUUCAAACCGAUAUACAUCCUGGAAGAUAUAUGGCCGCACUAUCUUGAGCACGUGACGUCUGAGCGGUUCACAAGAUGCUCAUAGUCCGGUACUGGCAACCGGAAUUGGCUAAUUCAUGGCUCGGUGACAAUGCGCAUCGGCAGCUUCGUUCCGUUUGCUGCACAUGCGAACGGAUGGUAAGAUUAAUUUAAAUAAAAUAUAUCGUUAAAUUAAUUUGUUGUUAAUUAAUCUUUUUUCAUUAUAGGCUACGUCUCUUGGACGUGAGCCGAGCCCGAUGGAGCUGUUUGUGGAGACUCACGUGCGAAGUCAAGACCGCCAAAAGGGGGCGCAACAGUUCGUUGACAACCAUGCUCGACACUUCGUGGUAUGUUUGUUCAACCAUUUUAUUUUGUAAGUUAUUAUUUUUAUUGAAUUGAAUAUGAUGAUUACUUUUUUUAUUUUCAGGAGACCUAUAAUAGCUGGUUGAGGGAGAGAUAUGGGGACGAUCCUUUGAACCAUCCGGAAUUCGAUCCGAAUUUGUGGAUGGAGGUUGGAUCGUCUGGUGGACCCGAUAAAAAUCGGAUUUACGGGCUCUCCAACACUACAGCCGAGAACUUGCGGGCGGCCCGUAGUGUUUCAACUAUUGGGAGCUCCUAAUCAUUGUCAUAACCCAAUUCCGGGUUAUUUCCCAAAAAUUCACUUUUUUUCAAAAUAAAAAUCAAAAAAUAAAAUAAAAGGCUGGCAACGUGGAGAAAGCAGGUUGGGAAAUCAAGCUGUAAUUUUUAGAGGAAAUUCAAGGCCUAAUUGUACCCCAUUAUGCCCAAAAAUGGAGACAAAAUGCAAAUUCAAGGUUAAAUUAAAUGAUUAUUGGACGAAUUUGCAUAAAAAUUAAGUUCAAUGACAUAAUUAAAUUUUUAAUAGGCCAAUUUGAUUUAAUCAUGGGACAAAUUAAAUUUUAAUUAUGUUCAAGAAUUAAUUUGGGUCCAAUUGAAGGAUUUAAUUAAGUGCAAGGACUUAAUUAUACUUUAAAUGGGUCAAAUUAAUUUUAUUUGAGGCUUAAUUGGUGAAAAAAUAAGUUUGGGAGCCUAAUUUAGGCUUAAUUGAGGAGAUUGGAAUUUUAAGAGACCAAAUUUAAUUUUUACCAAGUUAAUUGAUUGAAAUCAGGGGCCAAAUUGCAAGAAAAUUGAAGUUUUGGGGUCAAUUAGGGGUUAAAUUGACAAAAUCCGAGAGCAAGGACCAUAUUGCAAAAGGCGUGUAACUUCAGGGUUCCAAUUGAAGGUCAUCAGGGGCUUAAUUGCAAACAUUUAGGGUCAAUUAGGGGUUCAAUUGAAAGCAAUUAAACGCGGAAGGACGGAAAUGCACUUUGGCCAAAACAGAAUCCUGAACACUAUUCAUUAUCUUCUUCUUUUUUUCCGGAAAAACUGGUUCAGUCACCUCCUUUGCAGGUGCAUUUAAUGCACCUAACGUCCACCAAAUUUGUCAAACCUUGCACAAAACUGAUCACCAUACAUCCCUCUAAGUCGGGGUAUGGUUUUCACCGGCUCACUGGCAAAUAAACGGACGUGGAACCACCCCAAAGAGGCCAACUCAGGCAGCCUGUAGCUGCAGAUUUGACAAUUUGACAGUGCACCAUGCCUACUUUGAGCCAACGGUUGGGAUCCUUCCCAUCUGAAUCAAGGGCUGAAAUUUUUCUCCAUUGUAGAAAAUAUUUCCCUCUUCCACCUCCUAUAAAUAGAGGUGGAUUUUAUGGCCUGAGGAAGGAGAAAAUCGGGUCCAAAAAUAGCAAAAAACCAGCCUCCCCCUGUUUCCAUUUUCCUUCUUUCCCCGUCAGCCUUCUGCAGCUCUCUCUCUACCUCUCCACAGCUGCCUUCUCCGGCGAGGAUACCAACAAACCCAGCCUAUACACCACCACGAACACCAGCUCCACCACAGGAAGCCAGCACAACCACCAAGCAGCCACCACGACUCUCUCUCUCUUCUCCUUCCGGCCUUUUUCUCUCCUCUGCAAACUUCUUCUUCCUGCGCAGUAGCAACUCCGGCGGCCAAGCUCUCCAUCAACGCCGCCACCAGCCUCUCCACCAGCACGACCACAGGCCCUCACCGCCUCAGGUGGUUCUCCAUCCCUGCCUUGCAUCAACCGCCCGCCCCUGUUGCUCACUGCUGCUGUCGCUGCAUGCAGAAUUCAUUCUGCAUGCAGCGACCAAAAUAAUUAGCUUUGGGCCGGGCCAGUUUUGGCCCAACCCAAAUGGCUGGGCUGGAUCCGGCCCGGCCCCCAUUUUUAAAAAAAAAAUUCAAAAAAUUUCAAAAAUAAUUUUUUUAAAAAAUGUGAUUUUCUCAAAUAUUUUUCUAUCAAUUUUGCAUAAUAUCGGGUUGUAUAUUUACAUUCUAAAAUACAAUUCCGGUAUUAAAAUACCCGGUUUUCUCCGAAAUAUUUCAAAAAAAAAUAAAUAAAAAACAUUUAAAAAAUAUAUAUAUUUUUUAUUGCAUACGGCCAAAUUCUAAAAUUUUUCCAAGCAUAUUUUUCAUAAAAAAACAAAAAUUGCAUCUUUUUCAUGUUAAAAAUAAAAAUAAAAAAUGGAUAUCAUAACCAGUUUAUGAUUAUCCAUUAGGAUUUGGCCAACAUGUCAAAAAUCUUUUUCCAAUCUUUUUAGGAUUCAGAUGUAGACUUUAAUAUUUGUGGGGUGUAAAAUUACACGAUAAAGUACACCCUCAAGUAUUAAGAUACAAAGUUUAAAAAUACGAUGUUAAAAUUCAGACUUUAGAACGGUUAGGAUUUAACCCGAUAAGGUAGAGACUCUCUCACGAAGAGAGAUCUGCCUUGAGCCUUAGAAAAGACCAACGAAUAGAAACUCGACUUAGAAAAAAAAAAUCAAACAACAAUGCAGCUUACCUUAGGUAGGGUGCACUGAGGGUGAUGCGUCUUCCCCUUGCACAACCAAUCCCUUACUCAGACUCUCGCAGACCAUAGGUUUCUAGUGACCAUAAUACUAGGUAGCGACUCCUAAACAUUAAUUAUAAUUUUAUGAUUAAAUCUGAAAACCUUCCCAACACACAACACCUCACACGGGAGGCACGACAGAGAGCCUCCGCCGUCGCCAGACAACGUCGCGCCCCCCGCGACAAUCAGUAUUGAGCACCCAAUCUAAGGAGUUCGUGGCCUUGCAGCAACACACAGCUCAGCUCACCGAAAAAUACGACCACCUAUCAGCGGCGUAUGCACAACUCAAAGCGGAGAAUGCACAACAAAAAGCGGACCAUGACCAGCUUCGCGAAUUUGUCAUGAACAUGGCAUCACAGAGUGGUGAUACUUGUGCGCCUUCUUCUUUUUGGCCGUAUAACAACCAGCCUCCUCCUCCUCCUCCAGCUCCGCCAUUAUGUUAAUUUGUAAUGAAUAUUAUUUAACUUUAAUAGUUAAUUUAAUAUUUUUUUUAAACAUAUUCAGUUUGUAAUGAAUAUUAUUUAACUUUAUUUCUUUUGUUUUUGAUUUUAAUAAAAAUUUUAUUUGCAUAAUUGGUUUUUAUUACCAUUAAUUUAUAUAAUUUUAUAUUAUGUAUUCUAAAUAAUUUUUUAAAAACAAAUUUAAAAAUAAUCACAGAGGGUUUUACCGACGGAAUAUAUUCGUCGGCAUUUGACAGUAGCUGUCACAGUCACCGAUUAAUUUACAGACGGAUAUAUUCAGUCGGUGUUAGGGAUUCACCGACCAAUUUACUGACGGACGUAAUCCAUCGAUAUUUUACAGUGCCUGCCACAAUGACCGACGAAUGUACAGACGGAUAUCUUCGGUCGGUAUUCCAAACAUUCACCGAUAAUUUUACCGACGGUUUUAAUCCGUCGGUCUAUCACACAAUCACCGACGGGAUAAAUCCGUUGGUAUAUUUCAAGCGGGAAUUUUUUUUUUUGGCACACAAUUUUCGUUUGUAAAACCAUCGGCAAAUGUUUUUUUUUUUUUGUCGACUGAUAUAGUGAUGGAAUAUGGUAUUACCGAUGAAAGGAAAGCCAAUGGAUGUAUUCCGUUGGUGUAGACGUCGGUAAAUAAAUUACCGAUGAAAUCUUAAUCACAUACCAACGGAAUAUUUCCGUCGGUAAAACUGUGAAAUCUUGUAGUGCUUUUCCUCUUUUCCUUUUCCAGUGGGGAACAUAGUUUCUCUACUACAGUGGUUAUUAUUUUUUCUAUAAAAACUAUGGUCGCAUAUAUAUAUAUUGCAAAAGUAGAUGUUUAAAAUUCUUAGAAGCAUAAAUUUGAGUAUUGUGUUAGAGACAACCAUAUAAUGUUAUUUUUCAAUGUAAAAGUAUGAUUUUCACCUGGAGAUAUCAUUCAAAUUCUUAGAAUGGUUACCAGGUUGUAUUAUAAGUUAUUUUUCAAUGUAAAAAAAAAAGUGCAACCGUUAUCAAAUUAUUAAAUUAAUUAAAAAGCUAACAGAUAGAAUCAGAUUAAAAUAUCUAAAUAUUUUGUAUCACGAGUUAUUAUUUAAUUUUUUUUAUUAAAUUAUAUGUCAUUUUUUUUAAAAAAAAAGUACUAAUUUAAAUUGUAUCAAAAUAAGAUAAUUUUAUAUUAUAAUUAUUUUUUCUCUUAUUAAUCUAUUUUUCUCAUCUAAAAGUAUAGUUUUUUUAAGCAAUGUACUUCAUCUAAUAUAAACCAAAGGAGAUUAGUAUAAAUAUUUAAAAGACUCAAAACUAUCCAAAAUAAGGAUAAAAAAGUUAGUAUAAAUAUUCAAAAGACUCAUAACUAUCCAAAAUAAGGAUAAAAUAGACAUCUUUUUAAUUAAAACCUCUUUAUCUUAUCAAUGCAAUUUUUUUGGCAAUUUGUUUAUCCAACUAUUUAUUUGUUAAGGCAAAAAAUUAUAAUGAUCAUGAAAACAAAACUUAAAAAAUAAUGUUUUCAUUAUCAUGUCACAAAUGUAAUAAAAUUAACAUGAAUGAGUAAUACACCUCAUUUGCUUUCCCAAUUUUUGACCACAGGAAUGGUGGUUGAAAAAUCGAGUUGGGUAUUUUGGACAAAAAAAUCUAUCUUUCAAUCUAUUCUUAUUUAAAAAUAUAUAAUAAAUAUUUUUAUAAAAUCAAUAAAGUGAUUUUUCAACUCAAAACAUCCAUAAAUUGGUCCAAAAACACAAAAUAAAAUCGAAAAACAAAUUUUUUAAUCCCAAUCUCCUUUUUCCAACAAGAUGGAGGUUUAAAAACACCUCAAAGAAACUCCUCUUGUUGAAUAGAAUUCAUUAACACCAAGAUGGAAUGUAAAAUGACAAAAAAAAUAUUUUAUGGUCUCUUUUAAAAAUACAUCUAAUUUAUAUAAAAUAUAAAAGAAAAUAAAUUCAAGACAUGUGAAACUAAUCUCUUCAAAACAAAACAACAUGCAAGUUGAAAAAAAUGUAAGAAAAUCAAUUACUAUUCAAAAAAAGAGUUAAAUCAAUAAAAACAAUCAUUGAAAAGGUAUUAAAAAAAAUAAAAAAAAGAGACCAAAUGCCAUGUGCAGGGCCACACUUCUGGCUUUAAUAAAAAACCUCUGGCCCUCCUCAGGCUAUUGUGACCAGAAAAUCAUGGUUCUUGUGUUCGGACCUUUAAAAGCUUAAUUUUCAGCUAGAGGUAAAAACACUUUUACAAUAUAAUAUAAAUCUAUAAAAAUUAUUUAUCAAUCCUAAAACAUUUUUAAAUCACUUUAAAAAACAAAAAUCGAUUGAAUUAAAAAAUCAAAUGGACCCCGAUUUAUUUUUUUUGUCAUGUUCAGAGAAAAACAUCAUUUUCAUUGAACUCAUUAACACUAAGAACAUCCUUAUAGUGACCAAAAUAUAGUCAACCAACUUUCUUUCUUUUUUUUUAUUGUUUUUCAACGAGCUUCUCUCUCCUCACUAAAACUCAAAGACUAAAAAAAUAAGAUUUUAGGCUACAAGUAAAACUUCUAGGAAAAAAAAAGUGAAAUGGAGAAAAAAAGAGAAUAGAUGGACUGAAAAUCACUUUUUCAUGUAAAUUUGAGAUUGGCUAGACAUGUUUCUUUUUGUUUUACACUUUGAUCAUCUUAUGUUGAAUUUUAUCUUUUUCUAAUAAAAUAUAAGAAAUUAGUCAAUGAAGGUUGCAAUUGAAAAAGAGAUGAUGAAAACGGGAAAACAUUUUGAGUAUUGCACCUAGCAUUUUGGUAUAUUUUAUAAUUAUGUAAUUGUAAUACAAUUUGAGAUGAGAAAAAAAAAUAGUAAGGAUAUUGUCGUGCACCCGACAUCGCGACGACCUUAAAAAAUUUAAAUUUUUAACGGAAAGAGCAUAAUUGCUGGCAUCUUGUUCUUUUAGGAAAAAGUCUUGUUUAAGGAGUCGCCACCUAGUAUUAUGGUCACUAGAAAACCUAAUUGAUCAGCAGAGAUUAUAUGAUACGAGACUGGUUACACAAAAGGAAAGAAAUUAUCACCCGUUAAGCGUUCUACUUGAGGUGGGCUGCAUCGCUGGUAUUAUCUUAAAUUGCUAAGGGUUUAUUGUAUUUUAUCUUUGAUGGUCUGCUUAUAAUAUUCUUAACUUUGAUGCCAGUGAAUAUUCGGCUACAGAUAUUUCCAACUCUAGCGUUAGUCAAUAUUACGUAGGAAACAAAUAUGAUAUUCCUGCCUCCGACGCUAGUGAAUAAAUUAAUAAAAUAAAUCUAAAACAAAGCAUAUAUAAUUUUAAUUUUUUUAAGAAAAAAACAAAAUGUAUCAAAUACCAGAUUUACAUUUCACAGUAAAAAUUCACAGAUCAAAUAUACCGUGAAAUACCCUAAAUUUUAGUAAUUUACAUAUAAUUUUUUUUCUUUAUUUCUUUUUUUUUUUGGUUUUUUAUUUGGCACUCUAAAUUUUUUUUAUUAGAUUCACUUGCUUUUUAUUUUUUAUUUUGACUUUUGAUAUGGCUCUUAAAUAUUAUUAUAAUUUUUUAUUUGAAUUUUAAUCAUUUUAUUCAAUUAUUAUAUAUCUGAUAUGAAAAUAAUAAUACUAAUAAUAAAUUGUUCAUAUCAUUUUUUUAUUCUUGAAAUUUUUAAAUAGAUUUUGAAUAUAAUUUUAUUAUAUUUAUGAUUUUUUUAGCUUUCAAUCAUACAAAAUAUAAACAUAUUAUUUUGAUAUUUUUUUAACUUACUUUAACAAUCACAAAAUAUUAAGGCUUGAUGAAGAAAGAUUUGAGAUAUUCUUGAUUGCAAAUGGCUUACGUAACUGAGCAGCAAGAAAGAUUUGAUGAAGAAAGAUUUGAGAUGUUCUUGAUUGCAAAUGGUCAAUAAAAAAGAUACCAAUAGUUUAGGGAGUGAUCGAUCGGAACAUAUUGCCUAUAUAUAUGUUGAAGAAGCCUUUAAUUAAUAAAUAAGAACAAGAAUUGUAAUUCCAUUAAAUAUUUUCCCAACUAGGGGAGCCAAAUCUUAUUAAAAGUAAUGCAAAUAAAAAAGUAUAGAUCUUUAGGGUUCUGAAUUAAGUAGCAUAUUCUCCUUCAACCUAGAAAGGUUUGCUUUCUAAAUGAGCAGCAAGUGACCUCAUGUGCUCCUUGAGACUUGCAAGACUAGGAUUGUCAUCAUAACUGUACAUCAAAGGAAUCAUUCUUGCGACAUUUAGACAAGCAUUUGUGAAAGACCGUGAAAAUGGUGACCGAGACAGGCAUUCCUGGUUCAGUUUCUUCCACGCAUCACAAAUUAAUUGGCUAACGUGCUCUCUCGCUCUUUCAACCGUAACGUUUGGAUGUUCUCUGAUGUAGCACUCCAAGUAGGACCCGUCAUGACCGUUUUGAUUCUCAUCCUGAAUUCAAUCAAAGAAAGAUGUCUCAAUCAUCAUAUAAACUCAUCAUUAAUGCUAUUUUCUUUGUUUAUUGACUUUAUAGCCUUUUCAGAUUAUAUAGUGUUACCUUAGCAGUGCCCAAGUCAUCCCAAAGACGGAGGAUCGUUGCUGUGAAUGAUAUAAUGGGAGGAAAGCCAUCCACAAAAUCAACGGUUUCUUUGUUGAUGCCCUGGCCCAGGAGAAAGAACAUGUGAACCAGCACCACAUGCACACCUGAACUAACAAUUCCAUUCCUCAAAUAUUCUUCUGGCUUUGGCAAUUUCCCAGAAGCAAACCACUUUGCUUCUUCUAAAAAUGCGUUGCACAACUUUUUCCACUGCAACAAUCAGAUAAGAGUAUGGCAAACAUGUAUCAUAGAUGAUCCUUGAUGACAAAUGUUAGGCAGAAAAUAUAAUGUGUGCGAGAGAAUUCCUGGUUGGUUCUAGCAUAUUUGAAUUGUAAAUAAAUAAAUCCAUACCGAUUUCUGUAAGGAUUCUAUAGGGUUCCAUCCAUGCUUUUCCAAAAUCUUGGUGCUAAUGCUCUCAGUGAUGUCGAAAAGAGCCAUGAGAGAAAUCUUCAUGCUUUCUGGUAGCUGAUUAGCGGCUGUGAGGUCCCAUCUUCAGGCAAUGAUUUGAUGGAUUAGAAAAUCUUAAACAAAACACACACGAAGAAUCAAAGAGAGAGAUGAUACGAGGGUGCAUACUCAUUGACUGCUUCUGUGAAGAUAGAGAGGUCAUUGAGCGUCCCGUAAAGAUCGAAAAUGUCGUCGAUAAUGUAGACCAGAGAGAUGGGUUUAGUUAAUUCGACCCUUUGCUCAGAGAGGUUAGGAUCUAUGAGGACAGACAUGGACCACAUGUGCCACUUUAGAGGUUGGUCUCUUGCGAAUUUCAACUCCUUAGCCAAGCCUAAGUCUUUCCACCAACUAAAAAAACACAAGAUUUUGCAUUAGAGGAGGAUAAUUUAAUCUUGUUAGUGCAUUUCAAGCAAUAUAUAGUUCUUACUUUGAAAUCUGAAGAAUUUCCUUCUGAUGUAUAGAUCGUACAAUUUCACAAUCGAUUUUCGCCAACUCUGAAAAAACCUUGAUGUUUUCAUUUCGGAUAUCAAUAUUGUUUAGGAAGUUUUUGACCAUGAACCUUGCCAAGCUCUUGUGAUAAGGAUGCUUCAAUGUAUUUGCAACAAUUUCUGAUUCAUGAUGAUUAAGUAGCUUGGCACUGAAUUCUCCAGCUUCAUCAAGUAUAUCUUCACUUUCCAUACUCAGUUGUGAAGCUUCAUACAAUGCCAUCAAACCCUUUACGUCAUUUUCUUGUAUCAAAUGAAAAUUUCCCUCUUCAUUCUUGAAGUUGUUAAACACCUCUAUAGCACAGCCACAACAAAAAAAAAUUGAUGGUAAAUAAUUUAUUUAUUUUUCAGAUGCAGUAAUACUAAUCUACAUCUAGCAUUGGAGUAUGACUUGUAUUCCUCGACAUAGGCACUAAAGCAGUGGUGAAGCGUGGACCAAAUUGAUGUAGGGUCAAGUUAGAAAUAUCAUGAGGCUUUAGAAGAGCUAUAAAAUAUUUUGGAUUUUUUUUCUUUUUUUGGUGUCUUAGCAGUAACUCUGGGGGAAGUAGGAUGUAAGCAUGCCUAAAGUUAGUGACAAGAGUUAUCUUCUGAUAAUUUGGAGUUCUCAUGGCCUCCUCAAUCUAGCACGGGAGCUUUUUCCUCUGAUGACCGAUCGAAUGUGGUGAUGCGGUCCAUUACAAAGUGUUAUUUCCUAAUUUAUCUUACUGUGUCGAAUUAUUCUUCAUGUCAUCAUGUUUUUAAUUCAUCGAAUUUUAACAUAUAACAAAACAAAUUUACGUACCAGCUAAACAUAAGAGUUAAGUAAAUGAUUAAAAUCUCGGUAAUGAUUAUAUAUUGUUUUCUAAUUUGCUCACCUUGAGAGACAUUAUAACCCUCUUGUCUCAAUAAUCGAAAGCGAAGAGCAACUCCACAAACGUCAAGAGGAAGAUGAUUUGGAGAACUAAAGUUCAUAUAUUGAGUAUUUAGAAAAGCUUCAAUUUCCUCUCGGAAGUGAUAGUCAAUGCCUAAGCGUUGAAGUGUAUCGAUCAUUACUAAGCCUUCCAGUGGAUCUUUUCCAGCAGUAUUGCUGAGAAUACACCCAGCUUCCUUCACCAUUUUUCCAUGUCUGAGGCAUAGCUCAUUCUGCAAAAGUGAAAUAUAGAUUAAGCAAUAUAAGAAACCAGAAACAAAUUAACAUGCAACAUGUGAACCGAAACCUUACCUCAAGGCUAGGAAGAUGAAAGGAUGCUGAGAAGUUGCCAUCAAUAUUGAUGGGAAAUGCCAUUGAUAAUAUCACCGAUACUUAACGAGAAGCAGAUAUUGAGAGAUCUGAGUGAGUCUUGUGAAUUUGUGAUGUGCUAUAAUUCAGUUUGUGGGACGAUAUAUAUAGAGUUAUAUGUUAACGAACAAGAGCUAGCUAGGACCACACAAUGUGUGAUUCAUGUGUUCUGUCAUGUUGACUGCACAUUCUGCAGCAGAAGUCUAUAAUUAUGUUUUUGUUGACUGACUGCACAUUUUCCCAUGUUUUUGUUGACUGUACAUCAAAUUAAAGUCUAAAAUUAAGUGCUCAUAUAUAUUAUUAUGCUAAGCUUAAAUAGUGAAUCUUAGCACCAAAACUUGAUUUGUAUAAUUUUGUAGUAUUCAACGUAAUGAGUUGAAUGAAAAAAUAAAAACUCAUAUAAGCACAUUCUUCUAUCUUAAUCACAUGAAACCACUAUCACUAUCUACAUCAUAAAUAUUUGAUGAAGACUUAUAUACUAUUGAGAAAUAUCUUUAGAUCUAGUUGUAUUGUUGAACUCAUUUCCAUUAUAUCUAGGUUACUUCAUGAGAUCCAAAAAUAUUCGUGGAAUUUUUUGGCAUUAUCAAUACACCUAAUCUAGCAGGUUACUUGGAAUUAAACUCCCAACCUGACUUUGUUUUUAUAUAAAAAAAAAUUAUUUAAUAAUACAGUAAAAAAAAUACUCGUAAAAUUAAGAAUUAACCCAAUAUAUUAUUUUGUAAAUUACAAGCACUGUUAUCUAAGAAAAACUACAUUAUGGUCUUAAAAACAAAUCUAAAAUUAAAAAUUCAAACAAAUUCUUAGUAUUUUUCAAUAUAAUUGAAGAAAAAAAAUAUUGAUAAAUGUGAGAAAAAUAUAUAAAAACAUGGAUUCAGAAUCUUAAAAACAUAGAUUUUAUGUUAAAUAAAUAUAUAUCCAUGAGUUUUGUUUUUCACACAUAAUAAUAAUAGAGAGAGAGAGAGAGAAUUCCCAUAAAACAAGCCUAUAAUAUUAUUUAAGAAAAAUAAAAAAAUUGAAUAAUAAUUUUAUAUGGUGCAUUUAAGUCUUAAUUUGAGAGAAAAAUAAAAACAAUAGAAAAACAAGUUAGAUACACAAGCGUCUAGGUAGGUAGCCCAAAAAAAAAAAAACUUAUUGAUAGCUUUCUAGUGGUGUGCCCCACUUUUUUUUGUUCGUAGAAUUGUGCUCCACUUUUUUUUUGUUCGUAGAAUUGUGCUUUCAAACUAUGAUUAAAUUAUAAAUUUGUUUCUAGGAUUUUAUUAAAUUUAAUAAUUUUAUUUUUUAAAAUUAUUUUUUAUUUAAUAAUAUAAUAAUAAUAAUAAUAAUAGUUUUUUAAUUAUAGAAUUGAGUAUCAACUAAAUAUCAGAAUAUUUGUUUGAGAUUACAAUAACCUCGUACAAAAUAAAUCGAAACAAAUUAUAAAAAGUAAUUUAAAAUCAAUCAAAUAUUGGAUAAUAAAAUUGAUAUAAAAAAAAAGGUAUAAAAGAUUCAACCAAAAGAAAAAAAAAAUGAAAGAUGGUGGUUUAGAAAAAAAAAUUAUUUGGUAUUGUUAUUAAACCAAAUUCAACAAGUCAAUUUUAAAAACUUCCAACUUCACUUCUUAUCUAGCCUGGGUUUAAAACUAGCUCACAUGAGAGUUGACUCUAUAUGAUCUAGUAACUUGAUGGGUCCAAAUGAAACUCGGACAUCUGGUAAAAGCAUGGUUUCACUUAAAAAUAUUUCAAGAUGAUUUUUUUAAUAUUGAGAUGACAACAUAUUGAAUCGUCCUGUGUUUUAUGAUUUAAGAUGCAAAAACCCGUAAACCGAAUCAUGCAUGGACUCUACUCCACUGAGUUUAUUUAAAAAAAAAUUAUUUUUUAUUUAUUGAUAUGAUAAUAAAAAAAUAGAUAUUUGUAAAAAAUUGAGUAUUAAUCAAAUAUCAUGAUAUUUGUUUGAGACUACGAUAAAAAAAAUAAAAAAAAUUAUGAUGAUAAAUAUAAAAUUAAUAAAAUAUUAAAGAAUGAAAUUAGAAAAAAAACAAAUUAGAAUGUAGAAUUAAAAAAAAAGGAAAAAGUGUUUGAAAUUAAAAAAAAAAAACUGGUAAAAAUUGAGGUGAAAGCACCAUUAGGCAGAAGAGUGCUUGAUUAAAAAUCAAAUUAAUUGUGCAAGAAUUUUCUUAAGCAAAGAUUUUAAUAUUAUCAAAAUAAAUAUUUUAUAAUACAAAUUAAUCAUUAUAUAAUAUAUCUAGUUAGUAAAAUCGGGUAUUCAAAUUUUUUUUGUUAUGUCAAUUCAAUAUCUUAGAAUUAUUUUAUACAAGUUAGGUAUCAUUAAUUAUGUGAAUAAUUAAAAAAAAAACUUAAAUAGUUUAAUUCAAAUUAUGAUUAACUGUUAUAAUUUAAAAAGGUACAAUUUACAUCUCAUCAAUAAAAUAUUUCAAAUAUGAUAAAUUUACUAUAAUACCCUUAUAUAUAUAAUAUUAAAUGAAAUAAAAACAUCUCUCUCAAACCACAAUUUUUCUCUUUUUAAACAUUAUUUUCUCUCUCUUCAAGAUUUUUUCUUACAGAUGAAAUCAAAACCAAAAUCUUAAUAACCACUGCUAUAACACGAAAUUUAAACAUGUUUAUAUUAACAAAUAUCAGUUUAAAAACCCAUUUAAAAGAAAUUGAGUGCACAUCAACACCAACCUCGAUAGUUGCAUCACCAAGAGAAAUACAAUUGAAACUGUUUUUAGAUAUUUUUUAAAAUUGUUUUUAGAUUAAAAAAAAAAAAUUUAGUGUGUUUUAAUAAUUUUAAUGUAUUGAUGUUAAAAAUAAAAAUAAAAUAAAUAUUAUUUUAAUAUAUUUUUAAGUAAAAAAUAUUUUAAAAAAUAAUUAUUUAUAUACUUUCAAACACCUCCUAUCAGGUCAAAGAACAACACCAUCAAAAUCUGAAACAGAAAAACAGCAUGAUAAUAAUAAGAACAAUAAAACCAACAUUUUCCUCCUUGUCCAAAGACUCUUCAGACUUCUUUAAACCAACCAAUGCUUUAAUCUAUUUCCCCGAGACGCCCAUGGUGCCACUUCCUGUUAAAAAAAAAUCAAUCAAUUUAAAUUCUUCUUAUUUACUGCCAAAAAUAAAAAUAAAUUGUUAAGAUUGUGAAUAAGAAAACAGGUAAAAUUGCCUAAAAAACAAAACCCUACAUAAUUCCAAUUAUGAAGAAUUAAACGAGCUUUCUUUGUGAAUUUGAACCUAAUCGACCCAAUUAAAUGCAGAAUUCAUCAUUUGAUCAUAAGAAGAUACAUUUUUAAUCGUUUGACACUACAAGCAAUUAUUUGAGGUUUAGGGUUGGGAUUUAAAAAAUGAAGGAAAAAAGAUUGAAGGCAGUGGCUAGGGUAUUUUUUUUAAUUUAAGAUAAUGUCGUUGUAAUAUUUAAUAUAAAAAUUCUUUAGUCAUUAAAUAACAUUUCAUAAAUAAUCAGAAUAUUUUGUUAUUUGUUUUGAGGAUAUGGAAUAUUAAUGAACAUUAUAAAUUAAAUUUUUAAAUACGGAAUCACAAUUUGAAGUACAAAUUACCACCAUCUUAAUAUCAAAAGAAGUUUUUUUAUAAUACAAAUAUUUACCAACUACGAAAAUUAGAUAUUUAAAUUCUUUUUAUAGAUGUCAAUACUUCAACAUCUUAAAAUUCUUUUUAUAUAAGUUAGAAAUCAAUAAUUAAAUACGCAUUAUUUUAAAAUACAAACUCUUAUCAUAUCAAUAAAUCAGAAUUACUAAAAAUAUAUAUUAAAAAAAAAAACACAGUAGCACGAAAGUCAUUGGCUAGUUUUCCAUAUCAACAAGGACAUCUUUCUUCUAUUAUUUCUCAACGGAUAUCACGACAUCCAUAUGAAUGGUGUUGGCUAUGUUCAUUGACGAAGAAAAUGAUAGGAAGAAUAUUCCACGUUAUUACAAGACAAAAGGCGUUGUCUUUUCCAACACCAUCAAAAGGGACCGCGACUUUUUGUUUUUGUUUCUCCGUUUCAAUCCCAAGACUAGUAUUUAAAUUGAAGUUUUAAUUAUUUUUUUUAAGUAUAUUAAGUUAAUAUUAUAACUAUAUAUUUCCCUUCAAAUAUAUAUACUCUUACAAUUCCACCAAACUUGAUUUUAUGCAUAUAAUUAGGAAAUUAGCAUAAAUGGACUGGGAGCAUUCAAUUUUAUGCAUAUAAUCAAUGAAAGAGAGAAUGCUGCCAGCAAUAAGAUGUUAGGUGGAGAGGUUCCAUCCAAGAACCUCAAGUUAAUUGUCCGUUGUAAUUUUUCUAUGAAGAAAUUUAUUUUCCAAACUAGUACACUGAGAAAAAGUAAUUCCAUGUAUAAAAAACAAUAAUCAUGCAUAUAUUAUAUGUGUGAGUGUGCUCCAAGCCCAAUAAUUGAUCACGUGUACAAUAAAAACACAAUCAUGUGAUCAUCUAUAUACUAUAUAUUUAAUCAUAGUAUAUAGAUGAUUAUUGAAAUAAUUAUUAUAUGUAUGCUCGUUCACGUACCAUAUGCGCAAUAAUUAUUCGCACGUACACUAAAAUCACAAUUAUGUAUGCCUCAUCACUGGAUUAAUUAUUAUAUGCAUGAUCGUUCAUGUCCCUCAAAUUCAAAACAUGAAAAACUAAUCUCUUCAAAACAUAAUCCAACUUGAAAAAAAAUAUAAGAAAAUCAAUUACUAUUAAAAAAAAGUUAAAUCAAUGAAAACAAUCAAUGAAAAGGUAUUAAAAAAUUAAAAAAGAGACCAAAUGCUAUGUGCAUGGCCACACGUCUGGCUUUAAUAAAAAAACUCAGGCCCCUCCUCAGGCACAUCGUCCACUGCUUUUCUUUGUUUUUUAUUAAUGGUACCUGCUACCUAUUGGUUUAUUUUUCGGUUGUCUACGGUGACCAGAAAACCAGGUUCUUGUUUUUUUAUCUAAAAAACUUAGAGUGUGUUUGGUAUUGCGGUAGCUGUUGUGGUUGUGGUUUAAAAAAAGUUGUUUUAUAAAAAGUACUUUUAGUUGAGGUUGAUUUGAAAAAAUAGGUGUUUGGUUAAAACUGUGUUUGAAAUUGAGGUUGAAGAAAAAGUAGUUUAAUGUGUUUGGUUAAGAAUGCUUUUGAAAUUGAGGUUAUAAAAUAAUUUAAAAAUAUAUAUUAAUAUUAAUGAUUUUAAAUUUAAAUAUUGUAAAAUUAAUUACUCCUAUUACAUCAUGAAAUAAAAAAUACUUUAUAAAAAAUACUUUUUAUUAUUCCAUUAAACUAUUUAUAAUGUCAUUACAUACAAAAUUCAUCCGAGAAGAAUUACAAUUUUCAUAAUUUUUUUAGCGUAGAUAAAAUAUUAUCAGAUUAAUUCAUUUUAUACUAGUGUUUUUUUUAAAAAAAUGUUAAAAAAAUUAACACACUGAAAAAAAAAAAAAAAAAAAGAAUUUCACGUGAACAGUGCAAUUCUUGCACUGUUCACAUGCCUCCACUGUUCACUGAACAGUGUACCAACCUCUGAAUUGAGAGCCGCGCAAAAAAGCACCAUUUUUCUGCUUUCUAUCUGCUUGCGUUUCACACGCAAUUUAUGGUGGGACCAUGUACAGUAAAUCGCUUUUUUUGGUGCGUUUUUGACAAAACGCAAACUCUAACGUGUAGCCAAACGUAUUUUUAAUUUUUAGCUCAAAGUAAAAAUAUAUUCAAAAUACAAUAUAAAUCUAUAAAAAUUAUUUAUCAAUCUCAAAACACUUCAAAAUCACUCUAAAAAACAAAAAUCAAUUGAAUUAAAAAACCAAAUGGACCCCUACCUAUUUUUCUAGCUAUGUUUAGAAAAAAAUAUCACUUUUAUUGAACUCAUUGACACUAAAAACAUCCUUUAUAGUGAUUAAAAUCUAGUCAACUGAUAACUUUUUUUUUUUGUUAUUUUUCGACAAGCUUCUCUCUCCCCACUCAAACUCAAAAACUAAAAAAAUGAGUUUUUAGGCUAAAAGUAAAAUUUCUAGAAAAGAAAAGUGAAAUGGAGAAAAAAAAGAAUAAGUGGACUGAAAAUCACUUUUUCAUAUAAAUUUGAGAUUGGGCAGAUAUGUUUCUUUUUGUUUUACACUUUGAUCAUCUUCUAUUGAAUUUUAUCUUUCUCUAAUAAAUUAUAAGAAAUUGAGGCUUAGGCCAGUUUUUUGCUGCUUUUUCCUUUUUUUGGGGCUGGGUCUGACCCAACCGUACGAGCUGGGCUGGACCCAGCCGGUUUCUACCCGCAAGCAUGCGUGAAUUGUUCACGCACGCUUGCUACAGCCACAAGGUAACUGUAAGUGCAAGUGCACAUUGUUGGUGAAUUAUCUUGCACAGCUGGAGAAACUUACCUGGAAGCUGGACGAAGGCGAUGGCGUGCUUGGGACCCCUCUGUUCCUCCUUUCGUUUUCUUUUCCUCUGGUUCUUUCUUUUCUUUUGCUUUCUCUCGAUGCAACCUUUGUCUAUGUUUGUUUGUUUGUUCUGGUGCUUGUCUGUGUCUCUCUAUGUUUAUCUCUUCUCUGUUCCUCUUCUUCGUUUGUUCCCCCCUUGGUUUCUCCUCUGUAUUUUUACUUUCUUUUCGGGUUAUCUUGGUUUAUUCUCUUAAAAAAAAGGAAUGAGAAUUUAGAAAUUGAAAAAAAGGUUAUCUCUCACUGUGCAGGCUAAGAUCCAUUAAAGCAUUGAUUGAGAAAAAAAAUUAAAAUUAUUUUAAAAGGAUUAAUUCUAACUUAAUUUUUAUGUAUAAAAAAAUAAAUAAUGAAAGAUAUUAAUCUAUUAUUAACCAAAACUGAACGAGGAGGUAAAUUUAUUUUUCAUCUUCUCGUAAAGUAUUACAUAUUAAAAUAAUAUUUUUGUUUUUUUAAAUUGAUUUAUUUUUAAUUUUAUUAUUCAACAUUAUAUUGAUGGAAAAUUUAAUUUUAUAAUUUAUUUGGUUUAUUUUUUAUGAGAUUAUUUUAAUCUUAUGAUUUAAUUUGUGGGUUUGACAUGUUAACUCUAAUUUAUUCAAGUUAUUUUUUAGAUUUUUUUUAUAUUUUUUAAUUUUAUUAUUUUUGAAUAAUUUUUUAUUUUGUUUUUUAAUUUCAUCUUUUAAUAUUGAAUUUAUUGCAAUUUAAGCUUCAUAAUUUGUUUUAAUUUGUUUUUUAUAAUGUUAUUACAGUCUUAUAAUCCGGAUCAUAAAUUUGAUAAAUUAAUUCAAAUUAACCCUAAUUAAUCUAAUAUAUUAUCAUCUCAUUAUUAAAAAAAAAAAUUUAAUUAAACUGCAAUUUAACCAUUUGUUUAAGUGUUUUUUUAUCCUACCAAGUCACUCGAGACAUAUUUGGUCAACCUUAACACACUUGGGACACAUCUAGUCCCGUAACACGGUCCAAUAAUCCAGUAUUUGCUAUAUAACCUAUAUUACUCAAUUUGUAACCUUAUAGAGGAACAGUAGAAGAUAGCACCAUUGUUUAUCAUAGCAGUGAGAAUUAGUGUAACGGUGUGUGUGUGUGUGUAAAAGAGAUGAUAACUUCAAUUACAGGAUCCGUAUGUUUUCAAAGAUGUUCAAUUCACAAACCAAAGCUCUUGUUCCUCUGCAUGAAGCUUGAAUUCUAUAGAAAGACAAGCGGAUUAAGAAUAUAGAAGAAGAAGAAGAAAAGAAUAAACCAGGGAACAAAGAUGAUGAAGAAAGGAAAAGAUUAAACCACUGGAAAAAGGCAGAAAAGCAACCAGCACUUCAGUUCAUGCAUGUAAGUUCAUGUAUUUAAAUCUGAAAUUAGUAACAUAACUCCAAAAUUUUCGAAUAACAGGGAAAAAAAUGGUGGGGCAAUUUCUAAAUGUCCUCGUAGAAUCUCCAGGGGACUUCACAAAGUUUCUCAUUUUUCACAAAAUUCAUUGUCAGGCAACAGUUUGUGAAAAUUCCCAGAAUACCUGUCAUUGAAAAAUCAUUAGUUGCUAGUGAUAGAAUGGUCAAAUCUGCAAUACUGUUUAACGUUUGAGCAAUUAUAACAUGCAAUCAUAGAAACAACUAGAGAUGAAGCCAAACAGCUCAAACUGUUGUCGUUUUUUAAAAUAAAUAAAUCAGACAUUACAGCAGAGAAGAACCUGCUUGAGAACCAUUUGAGAACUCUCUCUCUUACCAUAAAGGUAUGCAAAUUCAUGUGGUAGGUACACUGUCCCUCUAGUUUCUAUAAUACAAAUUCGUACGGAUCCAACGUGGGAAAAGGAACUUUAUUUAUCUCUAAUCCAAAUGUGUUCCUGAAAACAUACUUGGAAGAUUCUCAAGCAUCCUUAAUGAUCAAAUUCAUUCCAAGGAAUUUAGUUUCUUUUCAUAUAAUUUGGCCCGUCGGAAAGCAUCCAAAGCUUCAGCUUGCUUCCCUGCACGUUUCAGAUUUACUGCCUUUACCUUCUCUGUCUUGAUCCGUUCUUCCAUCUGAUUUCUUUCCUGGCUAUUUUUUUCACUCUUGGUAGGACUAACUUUUGCAGGUCCUGGUCUCUCUGAACUUUGUGAUAUAAUACUGCUAUCUUCAAUUCCAAUUGCUUUCAAGGCAGAUAGAAGUUGAGGAUCGAGAAAAUCUUCAACAACUACAUCAUCUACUGGUUCUGCUAUGUUGACAGAAGACUUUCCAGAAUCAUUAGAAGACAUUUCAUCCAACUGGGCUUCCAGAGCCUUGGCCAAUUCAAACUCAGCUUCUGCUUCUUCCACCUGGCCUUCUCUUCGCAGCUUUAGGGCCUGACGUUUGUGGCUCAGUGACUCCUGUUGCAACUUAAAUCGAUCACGCCCAGACAGUGGUUUUGGAGAAAAUUUUGGGGCACUGGGAUCCUUUUGUUGAAAAGGGGGAGCAUUUGACACAGAUGUUGACCCAUCAUGGGUACCACUUACAGGCUCAAGGGUCUCGACCUCAAGACUCUUCUCCAACAGCUUUGCCUGCCGAAGUUCCUCUCGAGCCUCCGCCAAUUUCCCUUCUCUCUUUAACGCAACUGCCUUCCUCUUACGAGCCAAAACUUCUUGUUGAAGGGCAUUUUUGUUGUUCUGAGAAGCCAAUCCCUGAGCAGAAUCUGUUCUAUCAACAUGGGGCUUCUUGCCUGAAUUAAAUGUUUCUUCUCUCUUUCCAGUUCUAACAUUUUCUGUGCUUCCAAGAUCCAUAGGUGCAUGUAUCAUGGAACCCAUAUGAACAUGGGGAUCAGGAAAAUGGAAAACAUCAGAAAUAGAAUUGGCUUCUCUGUCCUUGCUUCUGAGAUUUUCAAGCCCACUUCUCAAGGAGCCAACAUGAACAUGAGGCUCAGGCAGGCAGGAUAUAUCAGAACCAAAAUCGACUUUAUCUUCAAAUUUUCUGGCUGGUAUUUGAGGACUACUCCAAUCAUCACCAGUCAGCAAAUCCAUCGGAUUCAUAGACUGAUGAGGUGGAGGAAAGAACUCGGUGCCUUGAUUUAUUCUCGAGUUACUUAAGGAUCCCAUUUCAUCCAAUAGAUCAAGCUCUCCUACAGAUGGACGGUUGUCUUCAUUGAUCUCAAAAGGCACUGGAUUGACAAUAUCAGGACUCCAUGAGGGAGGAGCAGUUUUGUCACUUCCCUUUCUUCCUAAACCAGUGAAUGACUCGAUAACUUUUUCAUUAGGAUCCACUGCUGCUGCCGCCGCCGCCAAUUUUUCAAUCAUUUCCACUGAGUUGUUCACAUUAUUCUGCUUUACAUGAUUAUUCAAUGAUCCAGUACUCUGAUAUUUUUUGUCUUCAGAAGCAUCAGGGAAAAGCUCCUUCUUUGGAGCUUCCAGAUCAUCUAUUUGGGACUCUAGUACCUUGGCCAUUUUCAACAAUUCCUCAGCUUCCUGAUUUUCUCCAUUAUGCCUAAGGGAAAGGGCCUUUCUUUUCAAACCCAAGAGCUCUCUCUGGAUUUCACCUUUGCUUCUUGGUCUGGCAGCUGAAAUGCUGGAAGAGAGCAGAAUUGUGGAUGGAUCAGUUGAAUGCAUCAAAUGAUCCAAAACUUGUUUAGAUGGCUUUGCUUGCACGGUUACAACUUCAACUUCAUCAUCCUUCCACCCUAAAUUCAUUAGCAAUGAGAGCAGGGAUGGGUCAUGCAUAUCUUUCUCUGCAAUAUCAUCUACAUCUCCUUCCUCUGCUGCACUGCUAACAGGUCUGACAAUUUCAUCCUUGGGCUUGUUAGACUCAAUCUGAAUUUCUUUCUUCCGUGUUUCCAUCUCUGCAAUCUGGGUCUCCAAUGCUUUUGCUGCUAUAAGCACUUCCUCUGCCUCGUCAAUCUUACCUUCACGUCUUAAAGUAAGAGCCUUUCUUUUCAGGCCUAAAAGCUCUCUCUGUAUUUCACCUUUGCUUCUUCUUGGUGUCCUCAAUGAGAUAUUGGAUGUAGACCGAGUGACUAAAGGAUUGAUUGUUUGAGUAGAAAGGUUAUCACUUUCCUUAGGAGGGUUAAAUGGAGAGUUUGCAUGCUCAUUGUCAUCAUCUUUCCAACCUAAGUUCCUUAAGAGUGAAAGGUAUGCUGGGUCAUGCAUAUCUUGAUCUGUUACAUCCUCCUCCCCUUCUCUAAUUGGUGGACUUCCAGAAAUACUAGGAUGUUCAUUUUCCAAAUCUGGGUUCUUACUCCCAACAGCCACCUGUUUCCCUUUGACAUUUGAAGCAUUGUCUAUCUCUUCAAGCUGCUGUUCAAGAACCUUGCCUUUCUUCAACUCUUCCUCUGCCACAUCCAAUCUACCUUCCCUUUUCAAAGCAAGAGCCUUCUUUUUUAUAGCCAAGAGCUCUUUCUGAAUCAUCAAUCUACUUUUUGGUGCAGGUUUAGAAAUCGGAUUGCUCUUUGCAUUAGUGUUUUGGGAAGGUGAACUUUUCAUCAUUCGUGUGGUAUCAUGUGCAAUUAAGCUGCCCACUUCACCUCCCAAGCUUUCAAGGUCCCUCUCAAGCAACUUUGCCUUCUUUAGAUGAGCCAUAGCCUCUACAACAUUGCCAGCUCGUUUGUGAUUAAGUGCUUCUCUUUUCAGUGAAAGAAUUUCACUUCGUAGAGUUUCCCUAUCAAUUGGGACAGACUGUGUAGCAGUGGUUUCCAAAGUAUCAGAAUCAUCAGUCCAGCCUAAUGAUUUAAGUGUAGCAGCUAAUUCUGGAUCCACCAGAUCCUCAUCUGUCACUUCAAAGUUACCAUCAACAUGGAGAUCAUCAGCUGUGCCCACAAGGUGAUCAAAAUCAAAACCAUGACCCUGCUCAUCCUCAGCAAAUAGCUUGUCUUCUUGAUCACUGUCCAUGCUAGAGAUUAAAGCAGAUAUCUCAUCAUCAGAAUCUUCAUUCACACCCAACAACUCCUGUUCUUCAAGCUGCUGUUCUAAAACUUUUGCUUUCUUCAAUUCUUCCUUGGCUUCGGCAAGCUUUCCUUCACGUUUCAAAGCUAGCGCCUUUCUUUUAAGUUCAAAAACCUGGGUUUUGUCAAUGCCACUGCUUCCCGUGUUCUUAUUAGUUCUACCAGAGAUUUCUCCAAGAAGAGAAGACAGUUCACCCUCCAAACUCAUUUUCACCAGUUUUUUGUCUUUGUCAUGGAGAUCCAUAUCAGACCACCCUAGUUCUCUGAGUUCAGCAGUAAAGCUGUCCUUUUCAUUGACUUGAGCAAGGCGUUUACUUUUUCUGACAGAUUCUUUGGGGCCAUCUUCAUUCUGAAUCUCAACUGUGUUGCUAGAAGACAAAACCUUCCGACGAUUUUUUCUAGUAGACAAUUCCAAAGCAUCAGCCUGCCUCUCAAGCUCCUUUCCUCUCUUAAAGGCUUUCAAGGCCUCCUCAGACCUCCCCUCAGCUUUCAAAAUUUUAUACCUCUUCUUUUCAUCCAAAGCUUGUUGAUGUAAUUCCUCAGGAGUGGUUGAUCCCACCUCACUAUAUACAUGAUUGCGAUCAUCCACAGAAUGACUUCUAUGUAUUUCUCCUCCAUCCAGAGCAUCAACUUGUUGAGUAUUUGAGUAGGAAGCACAGCUACUUGCCCUUUGAAUGCUAGAAAACAUGUCAGUGUUCGACUGUCGUCCUGAUGAAGAAGAUUCCUUUCUAUCAGUGCCUAGAAUCUCAUUCAAAAUUUCAUCCUCGUUCUUUGGCAUCAUUCUUGAACUUCCUACACAAAAAUCCAUCUAGGUUUAGACAAAGGUACCGUUUAAAAAGAAGAUGCAUUGUAUCUCACAGUGCACAUAUUCAUGAACAUCAGACAGUGUGCAUUUGCAUGUCCAAACAUCAUUUCAUGAGCUAGAGAAAUGAACUUCAACACAAACUAACAGAUUUUCCAAAGUGAUUAUUAAGCCAGGGAAAGAACGAAGGGGGCUAAAAGUAACCUUUCUAUAAACUUGAGUAGCCAAACAACAAUCCUUAGAUAUAUUGAAUGAAUGAAGAACUAGAAGGACAAAGAGAAUUUUGCAGUGAUGCAAUGAGUAAAACAGUACAUAAAUGAGCUAUGUAAUGCAAGAAACAUCAAUGAUCAUAAUCAAAAACUAAAAAAUACCUUUCCCAGCUCUAUUCUUGUGUCCGUACCGCGUCUCAAAACAUGCAGCCUCUUCUAACUUUUUACAAGGAUCACAAAUACGCACAGAAGAAUCACCUUGACCUCGCAAAACCAUUCUUUGCUGAGUGCAAUUGCCACAAAACAAACCUCCACAUCUUCGGCAAUAAUGCUGCAAAUCCAAUUACACAUGAAUCAAUAUUUCAUAAAGUCUAGGCAAGAUAAAAACCCAUAUGGAAAUCAACAGUCAUCUCAUUAUAAAAUCCGAUAAACAAGCUUGCAUGAUACUAAGAACCAAUAAUAAACUUAUUAUAGAUUUUUAACAUACAAAAUUAAAUCAAAAGCUAAAACUUAUGACAGUUGAUAUCUACAACAAGCACAAGUCUAAUAAUUAUGAAUAACUUCAACUUAUGAUCCAAAUAUUCCUAACUAAGCUAUAAGUGAGCAUCAUAACAUAGAAAUCAAAGAAUGAACAAAUCAUGAUCAAGCGAUUAUACAAAGAGAGAACUGAAAGAAGACAUUUGGUGACAUGGGUAUUGAAGAAAAGAUAAAAAAAGAUUGAAAAGGUUCAAUUUUUACUUUAAUAAUAAUUAAAAAAAAAAAACACCUUGCGAUUGAUGAAAGUGAACUGAGAAGAGCAUCCCUGACAAUGUGAAGCAUCAGCUACCCAAUCAUUCCCUCUCAAUGAUGGCCUUGCUGGUAAUCUAAUCUUCUCCAACAUCUCUCUUUAAGUAUAAAUACAAAUACAGAUCAAUCUCCACCUCUUUUCCUCGUUAAUGGUCAAGAAAACAUCAAGGAAGAAACAGGUCAAAAGGGCUAUCUGGGUCUUAUUUAUGUGCUGUUUUAAUGGAGAAGUAAAUGAGGCAAUGCAAGUUUUCUUGGUCUGUGAGUGACUUUUUACGUUAAAGACAUGGAUGAGUUGAUGAAGACGACGGGGAAAGGACUUCGUGUUCGGUCGAUUAAAAGCAAUUACCAGUACGAACGACUCGUCUUGUACAGGGAUUUUUCAUUUUACUGCUUAUUAAUUAUUGGGUGAACUUUUUUCUUUUCUUUUUUCUUGAGAUAGAUGGAUAAAAUAUAUAUAUAUUAUUUAUCCUAUGAGUUAAACAUUAUUGAACCUGGUAUUUUAUAAUUAAAUUUACAAAAUAUAGUAUUGUUUCUGUGUUUUAAUUAAAUUAUCACAAAAGAAUUUCAAUAUCAUCUUUGAUAAUUCAAUAGCUAAUGGACUUAAGAGAAUUGUUUUAUUUUAUUUUAUUUUAUUUCCUUUAUUUUUAUUUUAUAUAUUUAAAUUAAGAAAUUUGAGACAUAAUAAUCAGCAAAUCAAUAUAUCAAUUGUUAUAUCAAUAAAUAUACUAAUUUAAUAAUUAAUUUGUUAAAUUAUCCACAACUAUGUUAAUAUAUCAGUUGAUGUACAUUUUUUUCUAGAAUUACAUUUUAGUAUUGGAAAAAAAUAUAGUUGAACUCUUUAAAGAUUUGAUAAAAUAUCUUAUAUUAUAGUAUCUUUAAAAAGUACUCAAAAAUCUUCUUUUUUUUUAAAAAAAGACUUUGAUAAAAAUCAAAAAGUGAAUUCACUAUUGAAAUUCGUUUAUUAUUCACAUAGAAAAAUUCCCCUGUUUUGAGAAUUAUAAAGAUAAUAUUGAAAGGUUUAGAAUGUUAAUAUUUUUUUCAAUUUAUAAUGGCAAAGUAAAUUAUGGGAUUGAACAUGGUGGCCAUUAGCUAGAGGGUUCCUAGUAUUGGAUUGGUAGUGGUAUGGUACCCAAACAUGUCCUAAUUUAAAUUGAUAUGGAUUUAAAUUUUCAAACUGAGCUUUUAGGGUUAGUUUUAUAGAGUGAUUAGAAAUAAGUGUAAAUUGUAUUUUAAAAAUUUUAAUUUUUUUUAAAAUAAUUUUUUUUGUAUAUUUUCAAGUCGUUUUAAUGUGCUAAUAUCAAAAAUAAUUUUUAAAAAAUAAAAUAAUUUUAUUUUAAUGUAUUUAUAAAAGAAAAGUACUUUAAACCGUCAUUACCGUCAUAAUUCCAAACAAGUUCUUAGUAAUUUUGAUAAUAACCGUGGGCUUUUUCUUGGAAACUUAACCAUAAUAAAUAAUAAAAGGACAAAAUGCUUCUUUUCUUUUUUAUAAUUUCCUAGAAAAAUCAAAGAAAUAAAAGAGGAUGUUUCUCAUUAAUAUAUUAGCUAUAUAUUAGCUAUAUAUAUAUAUAUAUAUAUAUAUAUAUAUAUAUAUAUAUAUAUAUAUAUAUAUAUAAACUCACCAUGUUCAAUUGAGUAUCAAGCAAUCUUAAAUUGUCAUCUAUACAAUAUUUGAGUUAAAAAAUAUGUUGAAAUCUUAAAUUUAGGAUUUGAAUUUUAUAAUUAAUUUGGUAAUAUGAAGUUGAAAACUCAGUGCAUCAUAUAAUUUGACACAAUGAAUUAAGAACUUCUCACAUAAGCCAAGUGAAAGUGUUUGUUUAUGUUAGUGGAACAAUUUUAAGUAAGAGUUAUAUAUAAGAAGAGAGUAUUAAGUACUUUUAGGGUGUGUUUAGUAAUAGAAAAUGGUUAUCUUUAUUUUUUAAAAGUUUUUUUUUCUUUUUUAAUAAAAAAAUGAAAAACAUGUUCAUUUGUUGAAAAUAAAAAUGAGUUUUUUCCACUAAAAAAGCUAAAUCCAAUACAUCAAAAUUACAAUUAUUUUUUAUAAAAAAUCAAAACCAUAAUUUAUAAUAGUAAUCUUAAUAAUUUGUAUUUGUUAUAAUCUCAUUAUAGAAUAUUAAUUUUAUUUCAUUCAAAUUAAAAAUUAAUAUGAAAAUGUUAUAUUGUUAACUCAAUAAAAAAACUUUAUAUUAGAUUUAUAAUAAAAGUUAAAUUUAUAAUACUAAUUAAAUAUGAAAAUAGGGAGUUUCAGGGUUAGAGUUU
rnacentral:lncRNA from 1 species